AUGGUUAUAAAUCCCCUGCGUCGUUACCUGGCCCAACCCCGUUGCUCGACCGCCAAUGCUCCCAUGCCCCCUUGUGUCGCAUGCAUCCAAGCACCGCGGUCCCAAACUUUCAGCAUUCCUAGCACCUCACAUCUCUUAAUAUGCACUCUCCACCUCAAAACCCAUGUCCACGAGUACUCACGGAUGUUGCUGAUACUUGUUGCUGAUAUGAGUGUGCGCAAAAUAUUGGAGGUGAUGAAGAAGGUGCGUCUAAUGCAUGCAGAUGAUUUGGCUCUGAAGUGUAGCUCAUUUGAUGCAGGAGAAAUUAUGGUGUGUUGUGUCAUAUACAUAGCCUUAUUUUCGAAGCAACACCAUAUACGAGCAUAUGCUCCACAAAACUAA
rnacentral:rRNA from 1 species